AAAACACAUAACUCGGGGUUCGCGUCGCACACCUUCCCGCGAGGUCGACCCUCAUAGACUUGACAUUUUGGAUGAGUAAGAAAUUGAUUUGCCUCUUGUUUCCAUAACAACAAAGAAAACAGUAAAAUGAACAUGAUGAUAGUGACAACAGGAUGAUGAACACAACAGAAUCAAACAGGACAACAACAACAAAGACACAGUAAAAUGAAGAACACAAAUGAUAAAAGAGACACAAGGAUGAUGAAGACAACAGAACCAAACAGGACAAUCAUACCAAAAAGAACAAUGGAGACAACAUUUAAAUGAAGAUAACAAAUGAUAUAAGGGAUAACUGGAUGAUGAAGACAAACAUAACCAAACAGGACAACAACAACAAAUACAACAACAAAGACAACAGUACUAUGAAGACCACAGAUGAUAAUAAUAUCAACACGAUGAUGAAGACAACAGAACAUAAAAGGACAACAACACUAAAUACAACAUUAAAGACAACAGAAAAAUGAAGACCACAAAUGAUAAAAGAGACAACAGGAUGGUGAAGACAACAA